rnacentral:rRNA from 1 species
CCCUUAGAUGUUCUGGGCCGCACGCGCGCUACACUGAUGCAUUCAACGAGCCUAUCCUUGACCGACAGGUCCGGGUAAUCUUUGAAUCUGCAUCGUGACGGGGAUAGAUUAUUGCAAUUAUUAAUCUUCAACGAGGAAUGCCUAGUAGGCGCAAGUCAUCAGCUUGCGUCGAUUACGUCCCUGCCCUUUGUACACACCGCCCGUCGCACCUACCGAUUGAAUGGUCCGGUGAAAUCUUGGGAUUUUGUUUUGUUUGCAUUUAUUUGUAUCGAGACGAGAGAACUUGAGUAAACCUUACCAUUUAGAGGAAGGUGAAGUCGUAACA